CCCACAUAUAAAAUUUUAAAUUAUUCUAACAUUUUCCCACUUGGGCAAACAUUUGAUUGCCAUAACAAAGUUUUAAUACCCGGGUUAGAAUACAUAGGUAGCCACAAAAGUAUAGCUCCAAUGAUGACUCUUUACGUAACAUGAUCCGGUCCAACAAGAAUAUUAAUGAAAGUCAUUACACCAAUUAAGCGAUGUAAGACCAUUCCACAGCAACAAAUGUCAACAUCUUUAUCGACGUGGAUCCCCAUCCUCCAACCAAUGUGGUAGUAUGUGGUAUGAACUUAACACCAAAUGUGAUAAAAAACUGUGAUAACUCAUAUCGGUUCUCAUAUUGCUUCUGAUCAAAAUGAAGCCACAUGUCUCCAAACGAGACUCAUCUUAUGUCUUUAUACGUUAUAUUUCAAGAUGCCAAUAAUAUAAAAAGAUAUAAGUCAAAUGCAUGCUUAAAAUAGUUCAUGGAUAGGGGAAAAAUGAUUUUAUUAUCAGAAGAGGCUGUACCCGAAAACAUAUGUGUUGCCUACGUAUCCCAUAAAUGGAUUAAGCCCAAAACGUAGUUCUUUACAUAUAUAUAACUCCCACUAACCAAAAAUAUCAAAUGUUUCCACAAUGCCCAUAUUAGUAACAUGUGUCUUAAAGACUUUUGGAGCGAGUCCCUUAGUCAAGGGAUCUGCAACCAUUUUCUCUGUAUUGAUAUGCUCUAUUUUUGUCUACCAUUCUUUAACUCUGUCUCUAACAACCAAAUACUUGAUGUCAAUAUGUUUUGAUCCAC
rnacentral:lncRNA from 1 species